UGUAUUUGAUUUCUAUGCUCAUAGAUUUUGUGAAUGUAAUUAAAAUAAGCGGUAUCUUAUAGAUUUAAAUAGAGAAAUAGAGGGUAAUUUCACAUUCUAAUAAUCUAUACUAAACCAUUAUGUGCCCAUGCGAUUUUAUUAUUAUUUUGAUCACAUUUAACUCCUAACAUUUUAUAUUUAAAAUAGGAUUUUUUAUAUAUAUUAGGAUUACAGCCAUUAUUAUUUUCAGAGAAGAUAGAGGCCCAUUUGCAAUUAAUUAUACAGAGGAAUCUUUAAGUAGUUUCUAUGAAAAAAGGGGAAUUAUAUUUUUUAUUACCGAUUUUGAAUAGCAUCAUAUUUUAUCAGUUAAAAUAGUGUGAAAAAUGAUUAAUUAUUUAUUUGUGAAGAUGAUAUUUAACAAAUUUAAAGAAAUAGGAACGAUGACAGGAUAAUUGUCAGAGCUCCAAAAUCAGAUCCAUUUGGAAUUAGAAACAUAGGGCCUGGAAAUCUAAAAGGGUAUUGGGCCAUCUUAGGCUUUCAGAAAGAAUAAAUUCAACUUCUGAUCCGACCACUUGUAAUCAUUGGCACUUCUAUGAUUCUUUAAUAAGUGAAUGGAAUUUCUUUCAAAAAUUCGUUUUAUAUAUACUGUGUUUUCUUUUAUGCUCUAGAGUUUCAGCAACAGAGGAGGGUUUCUGCGACCAAGGGGGAACAGCAGCAGCGGAGUAGCAGCCAUGGUUCUCAAGUAACUUUUUCCUCUAUUUUUUCUCUAUUGUGUUAUUGUGUUCAUUGAAAUCGUUUUCAAUUGACGAUCUUUGAUUUAAAUUACCCUUUAUUUGUCUAUUUAGUUUCUGGAUUUGAAAGAGUAUAGUUUAUCUUCCAUGAAUGCAUAGUUUACACGAGAAACACGAUCUAUCUGUUUCCACCUCCAAAAUAUCGAUCUGUGCUUUUUUCCUUCAAAUAUUUAGUCAGGCAGCAAGAUUUGAGGAUAGCUUUUUAUUUCUAUUUUAAUUGUUCUUCAUCACAUUUUAUAACCAGUUUAAUGGUGAGCAGAGGAGUCUAAAGGCGAAAUAGAAUGACUCCGGGAAACU
rnacentral:lncRNA from 1 species